GGAUUAGAUACCCUGGUAGUCCACGCUGUAAACGAUGAAUACUAGCUGUUGGGGCUGUAGAGUCUUAGUGGCGAAGCUAACGCGAUAAGUAUUCCGCCUGGGGAGUACGGCCGCAAGGUUAAAACUCAAAUGAAUUGACGGGGGCCCGCACAAGCGGUGGAGCAUGUGGUUUAAUUCGAUGCAACGCGAAGAACCUUACCUACCCUUGACAUCCUGCGAAUGCUGUAGAGAUAUGGCAGUGCCUUCGGGAGCGCAGAGACAGGUGCUGCAUGGCUGUCGUCAGCUCGUGCCG
rnacentral:rRNA from 1 species